AAUACGUUGUUCCGAAUGCUACAUGAAUUAUUUAAAUACGAUGAACAUUAGAUGAAAAUAAACAAAUUACAACAUUCUAGAUGAACAUGACAUUCAUACGUAAUCUUCGUCUUCACAAUCUAACUUGUGUGUUGGGAAGACAGGAUACGGACGGGAAUUUAAUAUGUAUAUGUGAGUAACGAUAGAACGUUGCUAAUGAAAAACGAUUCUGAGCAGUGUUCAGUUGAUAGGGUUGUUUUGUCAACAAUAUACGGUGCCAUAUUAUGGUAAAAUGAUUAUAACAA